rnacentral:rRNA from 1 species
UGCUCCAUGAAAUUAAAUAGCCGCAGAUCAACUGUGCUAAGGUAGCAUAAUCAUUWGCCCCUUAAUUAUGGGAUAGUAUGAACGGCAUCACGAGCUACCCCCUGACUCAGCUAAGAAUAAUAAACCUAACAUAAAAGUAAAAAGGCUUUUAUACCUAAACAAGACGACAAGACCCCGUCAAACUUACACCACUCGUUAGACUGGGGCGGUCAAGAAACAAAACCUUACUCCCCCUCACAGCCCCACCUGAAAUAUUCGACCAAGAAUCAAGUUACUGCGGGGAUAACAGCGCAAUACUUUUCUAGAGCCCAGAUCUAAAAAAGACCUUACGACCUCGAUGUUGAAUAAGAUUCUUCCUAGCGCAAAAGCUAUGAAAGAGAGUCUGUUCGACUCAUAACCACUUACA